rnacentral:rRNA from 1 species
GGGGAAUAUUGCACAAUGGGGGAAACCCUGAUGCAGCGACGCCGCGUGAGUGAAGAAGUAUUUCGGUAUGUAAAGCUCUAUCAGCAGGGAAGAAAAUGACGGUACCUGACUAAGAAGCCCCGGCUAACUACGUGCCAGCAGCCGCGGUAAUA